rnacentral:rRNA from 1 species
GAGUUUGAUCAUGGCUCAGGAUGAACGCUGGUGGCAUACUUAACACAUGCAAGUCGAGCGAUGAAACUUAAAAGAUCUCUUCGGAGUGAUUUUUUGUGGAAGAGCGGCGAACGGGUGAGUAACACGUGAACAACCUACCCCAGACUCUGGGAUAACAGUUAGAAAUGACUGCUAAUACCGGAUAUCCUGUUUUGAUCGCAUGAAAAGAACAGUAAAGUUCAGGCGGUCUGGGAUGGGUUCGCGUCCUAUCAGUUUGUUGGUGAGGUAACGGCUCACCAAGACGAUGACGGGUAGCCGGCCUGAGAGGGUGAUCGGCCACAUUGGAACUGAGACACGGUCCAGACUCCUACGGGAGGCAGCAGUGGGGAAUAUUGCACAAUGGGGGAAACCCUGAUGCAGUAAUGCCACGUGAGGGAUGAAGGCUUUCGGGUCGUAAACCUCUUUUAGUAGGGAAGAAAUUGACGGUACCUACAGAAAAAGCACCGGCUAACUACGUGCCAGCAGCCGCGGUAAUACGUAGGGUGCAAGCGUUAUCCGGAAUUAUUGGGCGUAAAGGGCUCGUAGGUGGUUUGUUGCGUCUGAUGUGAAAACUUGAGCUUAACUCCAAGCCUGCAUUGGAUACGGGCAGACUAGAGUGUAGUAGAGGAGACUGGAAUUCCUAGUGUAGCGGUGGAAUGCGAAGAUAUUAGGAAGAACACCAAGCAGCGAAGGCAGGUCUCUGGGCUAUUACUGACACUGAGGAGCGAAAGCAUGGGGAGCGAACAGGAUUAGAUACCCUGGUAGUCCAUGCCGUAAACGUUUGGCACUAGGUGUGGGGUCGCUUUUACGAUUCUGUACCGUAGUUAACGCAUUAAGUGCCACGCCUGGGGAGUACGGUCGCAAGGCUAAAACUCAAAGAAAUUGACGGGGACCCGCACAAGCGGUGGAGCAUGCGGAUUAAUUCGAUGCAACGCGAAGAACCUUACCAAGGCUUGACAUAUAGUGGAAAGGCAUAGAGAUAUGCCCCCCUUCGGGUCGCUAUACAGAUGGUGCAUGGCUGUCGUCAGCUCGUGUCGUGAGAUGUUAGGUUAAGUCCUUUAACGAGCGCAACCCUUGUCCUAUGUUGCCAGCGGGUAAUGCCGGGAACUCAUAGGAGACCGCCAGGGUCAACCUGGAUGAAGGUGGGGAUGACGUCAAGUCAUCAUGCCUCUUACGUCUUGGGCUUCACGCGUGCUACAAUGGCCAGUACAAAGAGUUGCGAUACUGUAAAGUGGAGCUAAUCUCAAAAAGCUGGUCUCAGUUCGGAUUGGGGUCUGCAACCCGACCCCAUGAAGUUGGAAUCGCUAGUAAUCGUGAAUCAGCAAUGUCACGGUGAAUACGUUCUCGGGUCUUGUACACACCGCCCGUC